UACGGAGGGUGCAAGCGUUAUCCGGAUUCAUUGGGUUUAAAGGGUGCGUAGGCGGUUUUUUAAGUCAGUGGUGAAAUUUGCAUGCUUAACAUGUAACCUGCCAUUGAUACUGAUAGACUUGAAUAUUAUCGACGCGGGAGGAAUGCGACAAGUAGCGGUGAAAUGCUUAGAUAUGUCGCAGAACACCGAUAGCGAAGGCAUCUCGCGAGGUAAUUAUUGACGCUGAGGCACGAAAGCGUGGGUAUCAAACAGG
rnacentral:rRNA from 1 species